GUGUCAGCAGCCGCGGUAAAACGUAGGUGGCGAACGUUAUCCGGAUUUACUGGGCGUAAAGCGUGCGCAGGCGGCUUCUCAAGUCGGAUGUAAAAUCUCCUGGCUCAACUGGGAGGGACCAUCCGAUACUGUUUGGCUAGAGUGCAACAGAGGAGAGUGGAAUUCCCGGUGUAAUGGUGGAAUGUGUAGAUAUCGGGAGGAACACCAGUGGCGAAAGCGGCUCUCUGGGUUGUUACUGACGCUGAUGCACGAAAGCGUGGGGAGCAAACAGGAUUAGAUACCCUGGUAGUCCACGCUGUAAACUAUGGACACUGGGUACAGGGAGUAUCGACCCUCUCUGUGCCGAAGCUAACGCGUUAAGUGUCCCGUCUGGGGACUACGGCCGCAAGGUUAAAACUCAAAUGAAUUGACGGGG
rnacentral:rRNA from 1 species